AACGAACGCUGGCGGCAGGCUUAACACAUGCAAGUCGAGCGCCCCGCAAGGGGAGCGGCAGACGGGUGAGUAACGCGUGGGAAUCUACCCAUCUCUACGGAAUAACUCAGGGAAACUUGUGCUAAUACCGUAUACGCCCUUCGGGGGAAAGAUUUAUCGGAGAUGGAUGCGCCCGCGUUGGAUUAGCUAGUUGGUGGGGUAAUGGCCUACCAAGGCGACGAUCCAUAGCUGGUCUGAGAGGAUGAUCAGCCACACUGGGACUGAGACACGGCCCAGACUCCUACGGGAGGCAGCAGUGGGGAAUAUUGGACAAUGGGCGCAAGCCUGAUCCAGCCAUGCCGCGUGAGUGAUGAAGGCCCUAGGGUUGUAAAGCUCUUUCACCGGUGAAGAUAAUGACGGUAACCGGAGAAGAAGCCCCGGCUAACUUCGUGCCAGCCGCCGCCGUAACAC
rnacentral:rRNA from 1 species